CAAUAUACUUCUCAAAUUUGAUUGUUCUAGGGUUUGGAGGAUCGUUGGAUGUGGCGGCUGUUUUGGAUUUUGUGGACUCUGGUAAGGAUUUGAUUGUUGCGGCUGAUGCGAGUGCGUCGGAUUUGAUUCGGAGUAUUGCGGCUGAGUGUGGAGUUGAUUUUGAUGAGGAUCCGUCUGCUGUGGUUAUCGAUCAUGGGAGCUAUGCUGUGUCAGGAACAUAAUCAGUAUAGGU